rnacentral:rRNA from 1 species
AUUGAACGCUGGCGGCAGGCCUAACACAUGCAAGUCGAGCGAGCGGCGGACGGGUGAGUAAUGUCUGGGAAACUGCCUGAUGGAGGGGGAUAACUACUGGAAACGGUAGCUAAUACCGCAUACCAUCGGAUGUGCCCAGAUGGGAUUAGCUAGUAGGUGGGGUAAAGGCUCACCUAGGCGACGAUCUCUAGCUGGUCUGAGAGGAUGACCAGCCACACGGGAACUGAGACACGGGCCAGACUCCUACGGGAGGCAGCAGUGGGGAAUAUUGCAAAAUGGGCGCAAGCCUGAUGCAGCCAUGCCGGGUUUAUGAAGAAGGCCUUCGGGUUGUAAAGUACUUGCAGCGGGGAGGCGUUACCCGCAGAAGAAGCACCGGCUAACUCCGUGCCAGCAGCAGCGGUAAUAC